rnacentral:rRNA from 1 species
UACGGAAGGCAGCAGUGGGGAAUAUUGGACAAUGGGCGAAAGCCUGAUCCAGCAAUGCCGCGUGAGUGAUGAAGGCCUUAGGGUUGUAAAGCUCUUUUACCCGGGAUGAUAAUGACAGUACCGGGAGAAUAAGCUCCGGCUAACUCCGUGCCAGCAGCCGCGGUAAUACGGAGGGAGCUAGCGUUAUUCGGAAUUACUGGGCGUAAAGCGCACGUAGGCGGCUUUGUAAGUUAGAGGUGAAAGCCUGGAGCUCAACUCCAGAAUUGCCUUUAAGACUGCAUCGCUCGAAUCCAGGAGAGGUGAGUGGAAUUCCGAGUGUAGAGGUGAAAUUCGUAGAUAUUCGGAAGAACACCAGUGGCGAAGGCGGCUCACUGGACUGGUAUUGACGCUGAGGUGCGAAAGCGUGGGGAGCAAACG